rnacentral:sRNA from 1 species
UCUCAACCUCCACCGCAAUGUGUUAUGUCUGCGAAUCGGUUCUGCUGCAAUGGAAGACAUUCAUAUGAUUAAACUCAAGUGCUUUUGUUUUUCGAUAUGUAUCUACCCAUCCGCCUAUCCCCAUUAACAUCUAUCUAUUGGUGCACGUAUCUAUACCAAAUGAGGAGGUGGGCCGACUGCCCACUUGAGAUUCAUUCAGCCGCUCGUUGAGCCAUUGUUGAUGUGGAUAAUGUGCAUAAUGACGAGGAUGAUGUCAAUGGGCCUGCUGCUGAUGCCGGGACUUUGCUUACAAUAAAAUGAAAUGCCAAUGCGGCUUUUUUGCCCCACAAA